rnacentral:rRNA from 1 species
AUUGAACACUGGCGGCAUGCCUUACACAUGCAAGUAGAACGGUAACAGGUCUUCGGAUGCUGACGAGUGGCGAACGGGUGAGUAAUACAUCGGAACGUGCCUAGUAGUGGGGGAUAACUACUCGAAAGAGUGGCUAAUACCGCAUGAGAUCUACGGAUGAAAGCAGGGGAUCGCAAGACCUUGUGCUACUAGAGCGGCCGAUGGCAGAUUAGGUAGUUGGUGGGAUAAAAGCUUACCAAGCCGACGAUCUGUAGCUGGUCUGAGAGGACGAUCAGCCACACUGGGACUGAGACACGGCCCAGACUCCUACGGGAGGCAGCAGUGGGGAAUUUUGGACAAUGGGCGCAAGCCUGAUCCAGCAAUGCCGCGUGCAGGAUGAAGGCCUUCGGGUUGUAAACUGCUUUUGUACGGAACGAAAAGCUCUGGGUUAAUACCCUGGGGUCAUGACGGUACCGUAAGAAUAAGCACCGGCUAACUACGUGCCAGCCGCCGCAGUAA